CUACACUUAGUUGCCAGCACGGGAGGUGGGCACUCUAAGUGAACUGUCGCCGACAAGGCGAAGGAAGGUGGGGAUGACGUCAAAUCAUCAUGCCCUUUAUGGCCUGGGCCACACACGUGCUACAAUGGCCGGUACAACGGGAGGCGAAGGUGCGAACCGGAGCGAAGCCCUUAAAGCCGGUCUCAGUUCAGAUUGCAGGCCGCAACUCGCCUGCAUGAAGGCGGAAUCGCUAGUAAUCGCGGAUCAGCAUGCCGCGGUGAA
rnacentral:rRNA from 1 species